rnacentral:rRNA from 1 species
UGCUACUUGAAUCCAAAUAAGUAGUAAAUCCUGCCCAGUGAAUAUUUUCAACGGCCGCGGUACCCUAACCGUGCUAAGGUAGCAUAAUCACUUGCCUAUUAAUUGUAGGCUAGAAUAAAUGGACAAACGAAGUAAUAGCUGUAUCCUCUAUAAACAUAAAAAAUAACCUCCUAGUGAAGAGGCUAGGAUAAAGUCAUAGGACAAGAAGACCCUAUAGAGCUUUAUUUUUCAAAUGAAACAAAAUCAUUAACAAAAUUCAGUUGGGGCGACUAAGGAUUAAACAAAACAUCCUAAUAAAAAAAGAUCUACUAAUCAACAAAAGAUCCUAAAUAUAGAUCAAAGAAACAAGCUACCUUAGGGAUAACAGGCUAAUCUUCUUAAAGAGUUCAAAUCGAUAAGAAGGAUUGGCACCUCGAUGUUGGCUUAGGAUACCUAUAAGAUGCAGCAGUCUUAAUUAGUGGGUUUGUUCAACCCAUAAAAUCCU